CUUGAGAAACCCAAAAGUUCGAAAAGAGAGANCAACGUCAAUUUGUAUUGUAUUCACGUGAGUAGUGAUGUGAGUUUUUGAUGAUUGGGUUAAACCUUUCAUUCAAUACUUGCACAUUUUCAUGUUAUUUUAUUGCAAUAUCAGACCGGCGUGCACUUCUCUCUUAGUAGGACGUCCCGACCCGUUGAGUCUUGGCCUACGGCACAGAUGGUAGCCUUUAACAUUUUAAUGUUAAAGACCUCUGAUGUUCUCCUGGCUAAAGUACUCGACGGUAGUUUAUGACGUGGUGUCCAGCCGCAUUUUUAAUGCGCCCGGCCAGUCGCAAGUUUUUUGAUGUAUUCCGUAUUAUCAUAGACAGCGUGCUAUGUAUAUGGUUAUGUCGCUUUGCAUGACUGUGCUUUAGGGCCGGCUUACUUCGCCUGUCUGGGACGCUUAGGCUUUGGGUACUCUCAAG
rnacentral:rRNA from 1 species